UGAGAUUAUAUAGUAAAGAUGAUGAACCAGCUGUAAAACUACAACUACUACCACAUAAACAUGAUAUCAUCACACUUCUUGGUGUUGGAGGCCACUGGGUAACAACAGAAGAAAACCUUCAGUUGGAUCCUCCAGAUAGCCACUGCCUUUUCCUCAAGGGAGCAACGUUAGCUUUCCUGAAUGAUGAAGUUUGGAAUUUGUCAAAUGUACAACAGGGAAAAUAUCUUUGUAUCUUAAAGGAUGUGAUGGAGAAGUUAUCAACUGGUGUUUUCAGACCUCAGUCGGAUGAACAUAUUCCAGUAUUUGAAGCCAGAAUUUUCUUUGGAAAUUGUUGAGAAAAACCAAGGAAGAUAAAACAAGUUGCAUUUUUAAGCACGUUUCUCUGCUAAGACAAGAUGCUCAGUUGACACAUUUGAAAAGUGUUUGAAAAAUUCUUGUGCAAAUGAUCAAGAUAAUUCUAUAAUUAACAUCUUAAGGGAAUUUUUCUAAAAACCUUUUCAUUGUUUCUAUAUAUUUUGCCCCUGCUAUAAAAUUC
rnacentral:lncRNA from 1 species